UAUUAUUCCGUUAAAUCGAGGGACAAAACCGUAUUUUUAGGUGAGUAUCCUCUUCUAAAACGACCAAGCCACUAUAGUAUCGCAUUCCCUCCCAUUUAUGUUAGAAGCUCCACCAAAAACCCCAAAUUAGAACCCUAGGUUUGCAAUUUCGGAGAUUUCAACGUCAGAGAUUUCAACGACCUCAAGUGGGACGAGUCGGUACUGCGCCUAUGGGACGAAGAUAAUUCGUCGGACUUCGUGGACAGAUUUGAACCCAGGAAGAAGGUUCGAUGCUUGUGAUAAAAAUUGGAAUAGCAGAAGAGGUAUGCAUUAUUUCGAGUGGGUGGAUAAUGAAACUUGUCCAAGAGGAAAACAAGUGGUCCCUGGUUUGCUUAGAAGACUUAGAGCAACGAAGGAGGAAGGUAGAGCAAAGGAAGAACAAUUGAGAGCUGUGGAAGCAAAAAAGAAAGAACUGCAGCAUAAAUUGCAAGAAAUGGUUCAGGAAAAAAAGGUUUUUGAAUGGGGUCAUGGCAAAGACAAUUCAUAAUAUGGGUUUCCUUGAUUUUGUCUUGGGGUUUGUUUAUAACAUUUGUGAUGAGUGGGAAGUUGUAAUUGUUAUGGGGUUUGUUCCUUUGAAUGUAAAGGUUCUGAAAUGUGCAUUAGUGUUUUGCAAUAUGCAUUAGUGUUAUGAAAUUUUCUUGAAUUGAGGUUAUUUGAA